AUUGAACGCUGGCGGCAGGCCUAACACAUGCAAGUCGAGCGAGCGGCGGACGGGUGAGUAAUGUAUGUGGAUCUGCCCGAUAGAUGGGGAUCACUACUGGAAACUGUGGCUACUACCGCAUACUAUCGGAUGAACCCAUAUGGGAUUAGCUAGUGGGUGGGGUAAAGGCUAACCUAGGCGACGAUCUCUAGCUGGUCGGAGAGGAUGAUAAGCCACACUGGGACUGAGACACGGCCCAGACUCCUACGGGAGGCAGCAGUGGGGAAUAUUGCACAAUGGGCGAAAGCCUGAUCCAGCCAUGCCGCGUGUAUGAAGAAGGCCUUAGGGUUGUAAAGCACUUUAAGUGGGGAGGCGUUACCCGCAGAAGAAGCACCGGCUAACUCCGUGCCAGCAGCCGCGGUAAUAC
rnacentral:rRNA from 1 species